GGCUAGCCUCAAGUGAUGAUUAUUGGAGGUAGAGCACUGUUUGGACGAGGGGCCCCUCUCGGGUUACCGAAUUCAGACAAACUCCGAAUGCCAAUUAAUUUAACUUGGGAGUCAGAACAUGGGUGAUAAGGUCCGUGUUCGAAAGGGAAACAGCCCAGACCACCAGCUAAGGUCCCAAAAUAUAUGUUAAGUGGAAAAGGAUGUGGCGUUGCCCAGACAACUAGGAUGUUGGCUUAGAAGCAGCCAUCAUUUAAAGAGUGCGUAAUAGCUCACUAGUCGAGUGACACUGCGCCGAAAAUGUACCGGGGCUAAACAUAUUACCGAAGCUGUGGAUUGUCCUUUGGACAAUGGUAGGAGAGCGUUCUAAGGGCGUUGAAGCAUGAUCGUAAGGACAUGUGGAGCGCUUAGAAGUGAGAAUGCCGGUGUGAGUAGCGAAAGACGGGUGAGAAUCCCGUCCACCGAUUGACUAAGGUUUCCAGAGGAAGGCUCGUCCGCUCUGGGUUAGUCGGGUCCUAAGCUGAGGCCGACAGGCGUAGGCGAUGGAUAACAGGUUGAUAUUCCUGUACCACCUAUAAUCGUUUUAAUCGAUGGGGGGACGCAGUAGGAUAGGCGAAGCGUG
rnacentral:rRNA from 1 species